rnacentral:rRNA from 1 species
GACGAACGCUGGCGGCGUGCUUAACACAUGCAAGUCGAACGGAGAGGCCCUGCUUUUGUGGGGUGCUCGAGUGGCGAACGGGUGAGUAACACGUGAGUAACCUGCCCUUGACUUUGGGAUAACUUCAGGAAACUGGGGCUAAUACCGGAUAGGAGCUCCUGCUGCAUGGUGGGGGUUGGAAAGUUUCGGCGGUUGGGGAUGGACUCGCGGCUUAUCAGCUUGUUGGUGGGGUAGUGGCUUACCAAGGCUUUGACGGGUAGCCGGCCUGAGAGGGUGACCGGCCACAUUGGGACUGAGAUACGGCCCAGACUCCUACGGGAGGCAGCAGUGGGAAAUAUUGCACAAUGGGCGGAAGCCUGAUGCAGCAACGCCGCGUGCGGGAUGACGGCCUUCGGGUUGUAAACCGCUUUCGCCUGUGACGAAGCGUGAGUGACGGUAAUGGGUAAAGAAGCACCGGCUAACUACGUG